rnacentral:lncRNA from 1 species
GCCGGCAUCUCCCAUGCUUUUCCAUCCAGCAUCCUCCAUCCUUCACCAUCCAACAUCCCCUGUCCUUCCCGGCCGGCGUCUCCCAUGCUUUUCCAUCCAGCAUCCUCCAUCUGUCACCAUCCCCUGUCCUUCCCAGCCAGCACCUCCCAUGCUUCUCCAUCCAGCAUCCUCCAUCCUUCGCCAUCCAAUAUCCCCUGUCCUUCCCUGUCCUUCCCAGCCAGCAUCUCUCAUGCUUUUCCAUCCAGCAUCCUCCAUCCUUCACCAUCCAACAUCCCCUGUCCUUCUCCAUCCAGCAUCUCCUGUGCUUUUCCAUGCAGCAUCCUUCCCUGUCCAGCAUCCUUCCUUGUCCAGUGUCCAGCAUCCUUCAUCCUUCCUUGUCCAGCAUCCAGCAUCCUUCCCUGUCCUUCCCAUCCAAGAGCCCCUGUCCUUCCGCAUCCUUCCCGUCUGGCAUCCCCCAUGCUUUUCCAUGCAGCAUCCCUCACCCUUCCCCAUCCAGCGUCCUUUCCCAUCCAGUGUCCUUCCCUGUCCCCUGKCCUUCCCCAUCCAGUGUCCUCCCCAUCCAACAGCCCCGUCCUUCCUCGCCCAGCAUCCUCCUCAUCCAGCCUCCCCGUCCGACCGCCCCAUCCUACUAUUUUCCCUCUUUUCCCGCGGCAGCCGCAGGAGGGGGAGCGCUCGUCCCUGCGCCUCGAGGACAGGACCGCCCUCGGGAAGAGCCUGGACAAGGCGACGGCGCUGGAGCAGCCGGCGGGCGCGGGGCAGCGGGAAUCCGUCUGUCCGUCCCGGCGCAGAUCGCCCCGGCACCGMCACCCCGACUCCUCCGGCCUCGCCGGCAACUAAAAGCCCCCCCCGUACGUCACACGGCAUCCGUGUGCCCCCCCCGAAAAGUCUCAGCUCCGGCUGAGACCGGUGCAACUCAUCACACGAAUGAGUCGCUCAGCGGCGUUUCGAACCACCUGGGAAACAGCGAGGCCGAAACGGGGGCCGGCCCCCAGCCCGCAAAAGCGGCACCGGGCUUAUUUUUUCCGCGCCGUUCCCUUUCCCUCCUGCUUCUUUUUUUUUU